rnacentral:rRNA from 1 species
UCACUCUAGGGAGAAUGCCGGUAAUAAACCGGAGGAAGGUGGGGAUGACGUCAAAUCAUCAUGCCCCUUAUGACCUGGGCUACACACGUGCUACAAUGGUUGGUACAACGAGUCGCAAGCCGGUGACGGCAAGCUAAUCUCUUAAAGCCAAUCUCAGUUCGGAUUGUAGGCUGCAACUCGCCUACAUGAAGUCGGAAUCGCUAGUAAUCGCGGAUCAGCACGCCGCGGUGAAUACGUUCCCGGGCCUUGUACACACCGCCCGUCACACCACGAGAGUUUGUAACACCCGAAGUCGGUGAGGUAACCUUUUAGGAGCCAGCCGCCUAAGGUGGGAUAGAUGAUUGGGGUGAAGUCGUAACAGGGUAACCGUAA